rnacentral:rRNA from 1 species
UGGGGAAUAUUGGACAAUGGGCGCAAGCCUGAUCCAGCCAUGCCGCGUGGAUGAAGAAGGCCCUAGGGUUGUAAAGUCCUUUCGUUGGUGAAGAUAAUGACGGUAACCAAAGAAGAAGCCCCGGCUAAUUUCGUGCCAGCAGCCGCGGUAAUACGAAAGGGGCUAGCGUUGUUCGGAAUUACUGGGCGUAAAGCGCACGUAGGCGGCCUUGCAAGUUGGGGGUGAAAUCCCGGGGCUCAACCCCGGAACUGCCUCCAAAACUACAAAGCUAGAGGAUGUGAGAGGAUAGUGGAAUUCCGAGUGUAGAGGUGAAAUUCGUAGAUAUUCGGAAGAACACCAGUGGCGAAGGCGACUGUCUGGCACAUUUCUGACGCUGAGGUGCGAAAGCGUGGGGAGCAAACAGGAUUAGAUACCCCCGUAGUCC